rnacentral:rRNA from 1 species
GAAUUCGAUUAACGCGAAGAACCUUACCUGGGUUAGACAACGGUGGACCGUCCUAGAAAUAGGAUUUUCCCUUCGGGGACUGCCGGUUCAGGUGCUGCAUGGCUGUCGUCAGCUCGUGCCGUGAGGUGUUGGGUUAAGUCCCGCAACGAGCGCAACCCUCGUCCUUAGUUGCCACCAUUAAGUUGGGCACUCUAGGGAGACUGCCGGCGUUAAGCCGGAGGAAGGUGGGGACGACGUCAAGUCAUCAUGGCCCUUAUGUCCAGGGCCACACACGUGCUACAAUGGGCGGUACAAAGGGUUGCAAACCCGCGAGGGGGAGCUAAUCCCAAAAAGCCGCUCUCAGUUCGGAUUGGAGUCUGCAACUCGACUCCAUGAAGUUGGAAUCGCUAGUAAUCGCGGAUCAGCACGCCGCGGUGAAUACGUUCCCGGGCCUUGUCACACCGAAUCACUA